UGCGUAGGGUGCGAGCGUUAAUCGGAAUUACUGGGCGUAAAGCGUGCGCAGGCGGUUUUGUAAGCCAGAUGUGAAAUCCCCGGGCUUAACCUGGGAAUGGCAUUUGGGACUGCAAGGCUUGAGUGCGGCAGAGGAGACUGGAAUUCCUGGUGUAGCAGUGAAAUGCGUAGAUAUCAGGAGGAACACCGAUGGCGAAGGCAGGUCUCUGGGCUGACACUGACGCUCAUGCACGAAAGCGUGGGGAGCAAACAGG
rnacentral:rRNA from 1 species